rnacentral:rRNA from 1 species
GACGAACGCUGGCGGCAUGCUUAACACAUGCAAGUGGUGCGACGAACCUUUUAGGGGCAAAGCCGCGAACGGGUGAGUAACACGUGGGCAAUCUGCCCAGUAGACCGGAAUAACUCAAGGAAACCUGAGCUAAUACCGGAUGUGCCGUACCUCCAUAAGGAGGUCCGGUAAAGAGAGCUUCGGCUAUUCGCUAUUGGAGGAGCCUGCGGAGUAUUAGGUAGUUGGUGGGGUAAAGGCCUACCAAGCCGACGAUACUUAGCUGGUCUGAGAGGACGAUCAGCCACACUGGAACUGAGACACGGUCCAGACUCCUACGGGAGGCAGCAGUGGGGAAUCUUGCACAAUGGGCGACAGCCUGAUGCAGCAAUGCCGCGUGAGGGAAGACGGCCUUCGGGUUGUAAACCUCUUUCAGUUGGGAAGAAGGGUGGACGGUUAAUAGCCGGCUCACUUGACGGUACCUUCAGAAGAAGCUCCGGCUAACUACGUGCCAGCAGCCGCGGUAAUACGUAGGGAGCAAGCGUUGUCCGGAAUCAUUGGGCGUAAAGCGCGUGUAGGCGGUUACAUAAGUCUGUUGUGAAAGUCGGAGGCUCAACCUUCGAAAGCCGAUGGAUACUGUGUGACUUGAGUACGGAAGAGGAGAGUGGAAUUCCUGGUGUAGCGGUGAAAUGCGCAGAUAUCAGGAGGAACACCAACGGCGAAGGCAGCUCUCUGGGACGUUACUGACGCUGAGACGCGAAAGCGUGGGGAGCAAACAGGAUUAGAUACCCUGGUAGUCCACGCCGUAAACGAUGGUCACUAGAUGUGGGGGGUGUCGACUCCCUCCGUGUCGUAGCUAACGCGUUAAGUGACCCGCCUGGGGAGUACGGCCGCAAGGCUAAAACUCAAAGGAAUUGACGGGGACCCGCACAAGCAGCGGAGCAUGUGGAUUAAUUCGACGCAACGCGAAGAACCUUACCUGGGCUUGACAUACUGCUGACCUCCAUGGAAACAUGGACUUCCUUCGGGACAGCAAUACAGGUGGUGCAUGGCUGUCGUCAGCUCGUGUCGUGAGAUGUUGGGUUGAGUCCCGCAACGAGCGCAACCCCCGUCCUAUGUUGCCAGCAUUCAGUUGGGGACUCAUAGGAGACUGCCGGUGACAAACCGGAGGAAGGUGGGGAUGACGUCAAGUCCUCAUGGCCCUUACGGGCUGGGCUACACACGUGCUACAACGGCGGUGACAGUGGGCAGCUAACCCGCAAGGGCAAGCUAAUCCCAAAAAGCCGUCUCAGUUCGGAUUGCACUCUGCAACUCGAGUGCAUGAAGUUGGAAUCGCUAGUAAUCGUGGAUCAGCAUGCCACGGUGAAUACGUUCCCGGGCCUUGUACACACCGCCCGUCACACCAUGGGAGUUGGGUUUACCCGAAGACGGUGCGCUAACCAGCAAUGGAGGCAGCCGGCCACGGUAGGCUCAGCGACUGGGGUG